rnacentral:rRNA from 1 species
GAUGAACGCUAGCUACAGGCUUAACACAUGCAAGUCGAGGGGAAACGAUAUUGGAAGCUUGCUUCCGGUAGGCGUCGACCGGCGCACGGGUGAGUAACGCGUAUCCAACCUGCCCAUCACUUGGGGAUAACCUUGCGAAAGUAAGACUAAUACCCAAUGAUAUCUCUAGAAGACAUCUGAAAGAGAUUAAGGAUUUAUCGGUGAUGGAUGGGGAUGCGUCUGAUUAGCUUGUUGGCGGGGUAACGGCCCACCAAGGCUACGAUCAGUAGGGGUUCUGAGAGGAAGGUCCCCCACAUUGGAACUGAGACACGGUCCAAACUCCUACGGGAGGCAGCAGUGAGGAAUAUUGGUCAAUGGGCGGAAGCCUGAACCAGCCAAGUAGCGUGCAGGACGACGGCCCUAUGGGUUGUAAACUGCUUUUAUGCGGGGAUAAAGUGGGCCACGCGUGGCCUUUUGCAGGUACCGCAUGAAUAAGGACCGGCUAAUUCCGUG